rnacentral:rRNA from 1 species
CCCGCACAAGCGGUGGAGUAUGUGGUUUAAUUCGAUGCAACGCGAAGAGCCUUACCUGGUCUUGACAUCCCGGAGACCCUUAGGAAACUAGGGGGUGCUUCCAUCUGGAAGAAUCUGGAGACAGGUGCUGCAUGGCUGUCGUCAGCUCGUGUCGUGAGAUGUUGGGUUAAGUCCCGCAACGAGCGCAACCCUUGCCUUUAGUUGCCAGCAGUUCGGCUGGGCACUCUAAAGGGACUGCCGGUGUUAAACCGGAGGAAGGUGGGGAUGACGUCAAGUCCUCAUGGCCUUUAUGACCAGGGCUACACACGUACUACAAUGGCCGAUACAAAGGGCAGCGACACUGCGAGGUGAAGCCAAUCCCGUAAAAUCGGUCUCAGUCCGGAUUGGAGUCUGCAACUCGACUCCAUGAAGUUGGAAUCGCUAGUAAUCGUGGAUCAGCAUGCCACGGUGAAUACGUUCCCGGGCCUU